UAGCGGCGAGCGAACAGGGAAGAGCCCAGCACGGAAUCCCGCGCGGCAACGUGCAGGGAGCUGUCGUGUGAGGGAGGUUCCGUCGUCCCGGGACUCGGCAGCGAGUCCAAGUCUCCCUUGAACGGGGCCACAGUCCGCAGAGGGUGCCAGGCCCGUAGAGACCGCGGCCGAUCCCGGGUGGAGCUCUCCUCAGAGUCGUGUUCCUUGAGAGUGGAGCACUAAGUGGGUGGUAAACUCCAUCUAAGGCUAAAUACGACCACGAGACCGAUAGCGAACAAGUACCGUGAGGGAAAGUUGAAAAGAACUUUGAAGAGAGAGUUCAAUAGUACGUGAAACCGUUCAGGGGUAAACGGGAGAGACCCGAAAGAUCGAAGGGGGAGACUCAAUCCUGCCCGCGCGCCCGGAGCGCUUCCUUUUUCCGCGGAUGGUCCGGUCCGCCGUCCGUACCGCAAGGUUCGAGACGGUCCGCAUCCGGGCCACCGGGAGGUUCGUUCCGGCCGCGGCGGGAUGCACUUCUCCCCUUGUAGGACGUCGCGACCCGCUGGGUCUCGAGUUAAGACCGGCCUAAGGCACUAGGGGCGGAGCCCGAGGAGAUCGCCGCGGAAACGCGGGCCAACGGUCUCCCGGACCCCCGGUCGCCCGGCCGGCGCCCGGCGGUAAAGAUCGCGGAGCAGGCCCGCUACUGUGCGUCCGGCCCGAUGUACAAGCUCUACGGCGGAUCAGCUCGAGGUGCCGUGGCAUCAGUCACGUUCCCGGCCCCCGUAGGCUGCUGGUUCUCGGAGUCCUCGGACGGUAGCCCUCGUCUCCCGUCAGCGGCGCUCACGCUUCGGGUGCUCUCCCGACCCGUCUUGAAACACGGACCAAGGAGUCUAACAUGUGCGCGAGUCACUGGGAUGUGUCUAAACCCAGAGGCGAAGUGAAAGCGGGAGAGUCUCUGUGCUCUCUUGGGAGGAUGGCUGCCUCCAUUCCGGUGGGGGCGCCCGCACUCCCGGGGCGCCUCGGCCUUCUGGCUAAGGCGCACCCGGAGCGUACACGUUGGGACCCGAAAGAUGGUGAACUAUGCCUGGUCAGGACGAAGUCAGGGGAAACCCUGAUGGAGGUCCGCAGCGAUUCUGACGUGCAAAUCGAUCGUCAGAGCUGGGUAUAGGGGCGAAAGACUANNNNNNNNNNNNNNNNNNNNNNNNNNNNNNNNNNNNNNNNNNNNNNNNNNNNNNNNNNNNNNNNNNGGGACGAGUCUCAUCCGGUAAGCGAAUGAUUAGAGGCCUUGGGGCCGAAACGACCUCAACCUAUUCUCAAACUUUAAAUGGGUGAGAUCUCCGGCUUGCUUGAUUGAAGCCGCGAGGUCUGGAUCAGGGUGCCAAGUGGGCCAUUUUUGGUAAGCAGAACCGGCGCUGUGGGAUGAACCAAACGCCGGGUUAAGGCGCCUAAACCGGAGCUCACGGGAAACCAUGAAAGGCGUUGGUUGCUUAAGACAGCAGGACGGUGGCCAUGGAAGUCGGAAGCCGCUAAGGAGUGUGUAACAACUCACCUGCCGAAGCAACUAGCCCUGAAAAUGGAUGGCGCUAAAGCUCCGUGCCUAUACCCGGCCGCCGGUAGGUAUGGUGCGAGAAUUUUUUUUCUCGCAGCGAAACCCCGGUGAGUAGGAGGGCGCGGCGGUGAGCGCGGAAGGGUCUGGGCGCGAGCCUGCCUGGAGCCGCCGCCGGUGCAGAUCUUGGUGGUAGUAGCAAAUACUCAAGCGAGGGCCUUGAGGGCUGAUGUGGAGAAGGGUUUCGUGUGAACAGCCGUUGCACACGAGUCAGUCGAUCCUAAGCUCUAGGAGAAAUCCGAUGUUGAUCGGGGGAAUCAUAUUAUAUAUCUCCCCUAUCGAGCGAAAGGGAAUCCGGUUCCUAUUCCGGAACCCGGCAGCGGAACCGACUCAUCGGGCCCUCGAAAGAGAAGCUCGUCGGGGUAACCCAAAAGGACCCGGAGACGCCGUCGGGAGACCCGGGCAGAGUUUUCUGUUCUGCAUAAGCGUUCGAGUUCCCUGGAAUCCUCUAGCAGGGAGAUAGGGUUUGGAACGCGAAGAGCACCGCAGUUGCGGCGGUGUCCGGGUCGUCCCCUCGGACCUUGAAAAUCCGGGAGAGGGCUACGCGGAGGUGUCGCGCCGGCUCGUACCCAUAUCCGCAGCAGGUCUCCAAGGUGAAGAGCCUC
rnacentral:rRNA from 1 species